rnacentral:rRNA from 1 species
GCUUUGUUUUUGUAAUACUAGAUUGCAGACGGCUCAUUAUAACAGUUAUUGUAUCAUUGAAAUUAUUUUUUAGGUGGAUACCCGUGGUAAUUCUAGAGCUAAGACAUGAAAAAACAAAAUGUAUAUUUUUUUGUAUAUGAUUAAGGUAUUAUUUUUUUCAAAUUAAAAUGUUUCGGCAUUAUGGAUGAUUCAUAGUAAUGUUUUUAGAACGCGAUAUAUAUACAACGUGACAACUCAUUCAAGUUUCUGACCUAUCAGUUAGUCAGUAGUGUAUUGGACUAUUGAGGCGUUGACGGGUAACAGAGAAUUAGGGUUCUGUUCCGGAGAGGGAGCCUGAGAAACAGCUACUACAUCUAAGGAAGGCAGCAGGCGCGUAAAUUACCCAAUUCUGAUAAAUAGAGGUAGUGACAAGUAAUCACAAUAUUUCGCCUUAGGGUUAAGUAAUUGAAUUGAGAACAGAGUAGCCAUAUUAUCGAUAAACUA